rnacentral:tRNA from 1 species
ACCCCCAUAGCUCAUUGGCAGAGCAGUUGCCUAUAUAGCAAAUGGUCCUCAGUUCGAAUCUGAGUGGAGGCA